AAAAAGAACUCAACACUCUAAAGUUAAAUGAGGUUAAAUGGAGUUCAAUCUUGUCUCAAUUUACUUUAAUUAAGAGGUCGAGACCACCCUGAUGUACAUUUGAAUCCAGCUCUUGACUGCUAUGCCAUUACUUCCAUUAAUCAUGAUGAGAAUAUUAUUUUGAACGGGAUGAAGAACUCAAUGCGGAAUGCAAAGCAAAAUUUCAGCAUGAAUACUUUAGUUCCUUAAGUUCAAUGAGUCACAGGUGUCAGAUAUGAUAAGAGCGUGUCCACGAGAGCACCGGAGAGUCGUGCUACAUGCCAUCUCACCGAUUUCAAUGAAACUUUGCCAGUUUAAAGGGUCUACCCCAAAACUCAAAAAGACAAACUGGUUUCUGUUUUGUUUUUUUUCUGGGGGGAGAUAGACAACCCCCCCUUUUUGUGUGGGAUUUCCCACACUUAGUCAAGGCCCGCGAAAUUUAUUUCUUUAUUUCUUUAUUUCUUUAUUUAUUUGUCCACGAGAGAGAAGUGCUUGUCACGUGGUUUCUAUUUGCGUUCAGUGAGCCGUGAAGACUGGAUUCCAGUCAGCGUUUUUUCAUAGUGUAUUGUACGGUGGCCAUUUCUCUUCUCAGUCGUUGGGUUUUGGAGAACUUAUUCGGAAUUUCAUAUUUGUUUCUUGGGGAUUUUCGUUUCCAAGGUGUCUAUAACAGAAGAUUUUUUCACGUAAGCCAACACGCUGAAACGCGGCUUGUGUUCAGUGCAGGUUGCACAGGAGCUUUUACGUUUUCACAAGCCAACAUUUUUCGGCUUGGACCUUCGGUGCGGGUUGUGCCAGAUUGAAAGGAGUCAUUGUACUCUCGCAAGCUAACAUUUGUCGGCUUGAAUGUAUUUGUGCGGGUUGCGCUUCAAAGAGUCUCAGGGUGUCUCAAAGUGUCUCACGAGUGUCUCAAAAUGUCUCACGAGUGUCUCAAAGUGUCACAAACUGAAAGAAACUAUUGUUUGCCUUGAACUGUCAAGAGUGUUAUCUAUUUUAAUAAACUGAGUUUCUAGUUA